UACAGAGGUGGCAAGCGUUGUUCGGAAUUACUGGGCGUAAAGGGCGCGUAGGCGGGCCCGUCAGUCAGGGGUGAAAUCCCACGGCCCAACCGUGGAAGUGCCUCUGAUACUGCGGGCCUCGAGGGGGAUAGGGGCGUGCGGAACUCAGGGUGGAGCGGUGAAAUGCGUAGAUAUCCUGAGGAACACCGGUGGCGAAAGCGGCGCGCUGGAUCCCUUCUGACGCUGAGGCGCGAAAGCCAGGGGAGCAAAGCGGGG
rnacentral:rRNA from 1 species